UGUACACGUGCUCCCAAGGUAUGGGGGAGACAAAAAACUUACCCACUUAAAAUCUGCCAUUGAUUAGACAAAAACAAGCAUUGAAUAUAUUAAACACUACCAAACCAAAACUAAACUUUCUAACUGAUUUCAAAAAGACAUUUCUUCCUAACGCUCCUCUAAACCAAACGCAGUUAAGGCCUCAAAAUCGAAAUGAAAAGAAACUCCUGAUUUCUUCAGAACCACAAAUGAACAACUUAUGGUGUUCAUCAUCACCAUCUUAAUAGAUCCGAACAAACCAAAUUUCGAUAACAAAAGGUAAUGGUAACGCAGGCGACACAAACAAACUUAAACCAAAACUUAGAUCUUGGAUCUAUCGUCAGAAAUUUUCACGAAUCGCAGCAAAGACUCUUACAAAUCCACAACAAUCCACACUUAACCUUAAACAAACAUGGAUAAGCAAUAUGUUCUCCAAUCGUCCAUGCGACUGGCGACUACAUGGAACUGCAAUGCCUCGAGAAGAUCGAACAAUAAUACAAAGAGAAAUGAAGGAUAUCGCCGGAGUUUUGCGACUCCGACUGGAUUCCGACGAAUGUGUAUUUACCUUAUGUAAGUGUCUUUCUGUGUGUGAGUCCUUCUCCCGUUUUCGUUUAGCUUUCGACUCUUCUGUCUUCUUACUCCCAUGUUUCUAUGUCGCAAGUCAUGAUGGUCGAUUUAGUUCGACUAAUCCAGAGCUCCGAUGAGAAACUCUGGAUAGUUUUCGAUUGUAUGAACUUUUUAAUGAAGGGUUUUGUGUGUGUUUUGGCAGGGUAACAGUGCAACCUUUUUCUUUUUUUUCCCUUGCAGCGAUCCCUCCUUUAUAUAGAAUAGGUGAGGUCCUUUUGAUGGUGCGUGAAUGAUGAGCUGGUGAAAUCCAUAUUCCGUUAGGGAAAGAUCUCCCUCAUAUUUGUGGGGACCAAUUCAUAAUCUUGCAAAAGAUCUAUCUGAUUAUAGUGGUGACCAAUAUUGGAGGAGCGGUUUUAAACCUUCUGUUCGUGAGCUCUGCUGCCUGUUGUCCUUCUGGUGUAAUCGUUGUUGUAACCUUGUUUUUUCGUUGAGCCUUGUUUUGAAACGGAUAACCGAAGGCUCUACUCCUCCGCAACAAUGAACUUGGGAGCCUUAACCUGUCAGAUGUGUUUGCUCAUAUAAUCCAUCUUUAUCUUUUCUCAAGAGUCAUCUUGUCCAAUGUAUGAAUAUCGUCAGUUAACAGUUCAUGCAUUUGCCAUUUUCCUUAAGACUAACAUUGUCUUGUGGUCUUUGAAACACAUGUUUGCUAGAUGGAUGAUCUGAGCUUCUCCUUCAUGGUGAUCACCUUCUUAUAAAAGGCAAAGUUUACUUGCAGCUGGCUCUAGUUGGUGUUUUACUGAUAAUCCGACACGGCUUGUGCCUUCACUGUCAAAAAUGAUUGGCAGCAGUUGUACAUGCCCUGUAUGUUUCACACUUUCGGAUUUGGUCUGCAGCAAAUUAAAGUUUGAUGAAUGCUGCCUUUGUUGCUGGUUUUAUAUUCAUAGCUGAGAGUGCCAAUUUUUAGUGCGGUAAAAAACCAUAUAUGAGUUUGUAUUACCCUGUGCACAUGUAUUACAUUUGUACUGGCAGCUUGUAAUAGGUCUUGUGGCGUCCAUUUGGCUUUUGUUUAACAUGACUUGAUUCCUUUGCGUUUGCAUUUAUGUGUUGUGAUCCUCAUGACUUCGUGGCUAUAUCCCAGGUAUUGCUCAUUAGGCAUUUCAUGUUGGUGGUGCAUUCAAUGGCACGGUCCUUAAUAUUCAUGAUAAGUCCAUCUGUGCGGCGAUCGGUUGUCAACUGGAGGGCCAUUAUCCCAACAACAUAUGCAGCUAGCUCAUUCGAGCAAAGGUGGUUCCUUCUUGAGAUUCUAGGUCAAGGUAAUACGAAUUAUCACCACACGCAAACCCUCUGUACUCAGCGAUGCUGUCAGGAAUGAUACGUCGCACGCUGCUUCAACUCAAACGAAGUCGAAAGUAAUAAGAAAGACGGAAGUUGGAGAGGUCGAAGUCAUGACUACGUACACUUGCGUUUUCGCCCUUGUCGUAGACAGAACACUUGGGUCGAUGACAGACGUCCUUUCCAUGGAUUCAAACAACAGGGGUUGUCUUGGUUUUUAACACUUAAUCCUCACGUCCAACUUAAAAGAUCCUAAAGGCGUUUGAAAUGAAGUCAAACCAACAACAAGUACAAUCCCCUCCAUUUACGAUGAUAUGCUCACGUUAAAUUCUAAGACGCUUAUUAUUAGAAUGCUAAUUGUAGGAAACUUUGUGAAUUUUGGAUGUAUGGUUGGAAUUUGUACUGAGUACUAUUCAUGAAAUGGAAUUGAGGCAUGCUGGUAUUGAAAUUGUAACCUAAGUUUCUCUGAACAAUCAUUUAAUUUGAAAAUUUAUGAUGGAACUGCUAGCUUAACAUUAAAAGAAUGUAUCUUGUGAUUGUAUUGAACGGUACCCACU